UAGAACUUAGGUUAAUCAAACUUUGAAUUUUCAAGAUUCAAGAUGCGUGGCAGUUCUAG
rnacentral:tRNA from 1 species